rnacentral:rRNA from 1 species
UGAGGAAUAUUGGUCAAUGGGUGCAAGCCUGAACCAGCCAUCCCGCGUGAAGGACGACUGCCCUAUGGGUUGUAAACUUCUUUUGUAUAGGGAUAAACCUACCCUCGUGAGGGUAGCUGAAGGUACUAUACGAAUAAGCACCGGCUAACUCCGUGCCAGCAGCCGCGGUAAUACGGAGGGUGCAAGCGUUAUCCGGAUUUAUUGGGUUUAAAGGGUCCGUAGGCGGACUUAUAAGUCAGUGGUGAAGGCCUGUCGCUUAACGAUAGAACUGCCAUUGAUACUGUAAGUCUUGAGUAUAUUUGGGGUAGCUGGAAUAAGUAGUGUAGCGGUGAAAUGCAUAGAUAUUACUUAGAACACCAAGUGCGAGGGCAGGUUACCAAGAUAUAACUGACGCUGAGGGACGAAAGCGUGGGGAGCGAAC